CUGGCGGCAUGCCUUACACAUGCAAGUCGAACGGCAGCACGGGAGCAAUCCUGGUGGCGAGUGGCGAACGGGUGAGUAAUAUAUCGGAACGUGCCCAGUCGUGGGGGAUAACGUAGCGAAAGCUACGCUAAUACCGCAUACGAUCUAUGGAUGAAAGCGGGGAUCGCAAGACCUCGCGCGAUUGGAGCGGCCGAUAUCAGAUUAGGUAGUUGGUGAGGUAAAGGCUCACCAAGCCGACGAUCUGUAGCUGGUCUGAGAGGACGACCAGCCACACUGGGACUGAGACACGGCCCAGACUCCUACGGGAGGCAGCAGUGGGGAAUUUUGGACAAUGGGCGCAAGCCUGAUCCAGCAAUGCCGCGUGCAGGAUGAAGGCCUUCGGGUUGUAAACUGCUUUGUACGGAACGAAACGGUGAGCUCUAAUACAGUUUGCUAAUGACGGUACCGUAAGAAUAAGCACCGGCUAACUACGUG
rnacentral:rRNA from 1 species